CGCGUAGGUGGUAGUGUAAGUCUGAGGUGGAAUCCCAGGGCUUAACCCUGGAACUGCCUUGGAAACUGCAUUACUUGAGUCAGUGAGGGGAGGGUAGAAUUCCUGGUGUAGCGGUGAAAUGCGUAGAUAUCAGGAGGAAGGCCUGUGGCGAAGGCGGCCCUCUGGUGCUGGACUGACACUGAGGCGCGAAAGCGUGGGAGCAAACAGGAUUAGAUACCCUGGUAGUCCACGCCCUAAACGGUGGGCACUAGGUGUAGGGCUCGUAAGGGUUCUGUGCCGAAGGGAAACCAUUAAGUGCCCCGCCGUGGGGAGUACGGCCGCAAGGUUGAA
rnacentral:rRNA from 1 species